rnacentral:rRNA from 1 species
UACGUAGGGGGCAAGCGUUGUUCGGAAUCACUGGGCGUAAAGGGAGCGUAGGCGGAUCGGUAAGUUAGGAGUGAAAUCUACAGGCUUAACCUGUACGAUUGCUUUUAAUACUGCCUUUCUUGAGUAUUGGAGAGGAUGAUGGAAUUCCAGGUGUAGCGGUGGAAUGCGUAGAUAUCUGGAAGAACACCAGUUGCGAAGGCGGUCAUCUGGCCAAAUACUGACGCUGAGGCUCGAAAGCUAGGGGAGCAAACAGG